rnacentral:lncRNA from 1 species
AAGUUUUCACCCCAUCAACACCCAAGAUCCAUUGAGUUUGAUGAGACUCAUGAUCCAAACCAUCAUCAUCCAAGGCCAACAGAAGUUCACAAAGGUCACACAAAUAUAAAAUCCAUUUAAAUGAAAUAAAAGUUCACCAAAAGUAUUUUUAAAUAAAUUAAAAAAUAGAAAUAAAAUGAAAAAUCUAUAAAGUCCUUCAAAACACCAAAUAAAUGGCCAAGAAAAUUAUGGAGGUUGGAAAUAAAAUAAGAAGCAUGUAAUAAAUUUUUCAAGAUUAAAAAAUAUAGAAAAGUAUUUUUAAAUCAAUUAAAACAAAGGAGAAAAGAAAAAA